rnacentral:rRNA from 1 species
GAUGAACGCUGGCGGCGUGCCUAAUACAUGCAAGUCGAGCGAACAGAUGAGGAGCUUGCUCCUCUGACGUUAGCGGCGGACGGGUGAGUAACACGUGGAUAACCUACCUAUAAGACUUGGAUAACUUCGGGAAACCGGAGCUAAUACCGGAUAAUAUAUUGAACCGCAUGGUUCAAUAGUUAAAGACGGUUUUGCUGUCACUUAUAGAUGGAUCCGCGCCGCAUUAGCUAGUUGGUAAGGUAACGGCUUACCAAGGCGACGAUGCGUAGCCGACCUGAGAGGGUGAUCGGCCACACUGGAACUGAGACACGGUCCAGACUCCUACGGGAGGCAGCAGUAGGGAAUCUUCCGCAAUGGGCGAAAGCCUGACGGAGCAACGCCGCGUGAGUGAUGAAGGUCUUCGGAUCGUAAAACUCUGUUAUUAGGGAAGAACAAAUGUGUAAGUAACUAUGCACGUCUUGACGGUACCUAAUCAGAAAGCCACGGCUAACUACGUG